AUGACGUCCUGACGUCCUCGCGUCGUGGUAGCUGCCUGCGAUGACGACGGGAUUCCACAGUGGGACGGGCCGAUUCUGUAAAUGGCUACGAGGUGCAAUUUGUCGAUUUGUUCGUCGUUAAUCUUCUCUCCUGCGGCUCGGAAGAAAGCGUACACCCGCUCUGCCUAGAAGGCUGCCCUCAGGUUUCAAUGUCAUAGCACUGAGUGACACCAGCAGCGCGGGAUCAUC